GAACGAACGCUGGCGGCGUGGCUAAGACAUGCAAGUCGUACGAUAGGUUGUAGCAAGUAUGGCCUAUAGUGGCGGACGGGUGAGUAAUGAAUAGGUAACGUGCCCGGGCACAGGAAGUAGCGUCGGGUCCCGCAAGGGAUCCUUUGCGAAGUGACGGUAAUACCUGGUGACGUCUUCGGGUGCAUCAUCUGGAGACCAUAGGGUGGGGACCUUCGGGCCUACCGGCCUGGGUGCGGCCUAUCCUAUCAGCUAGUUGGUGAGGUAACGGCUCACCAAGGCAUCGACGGGUAACCGGACUG
rnacentral:rRNA from 1 species